rnacentral:misc_RNA from 1 species
GAUGAAGAAAGUAGCGAAAUGCGAUAAGUGAUGUGAAUUGCAGAAUUCAGUGAAUCAUCGAAUCUUUGAACGCACAUUGCGCCCGCCAGUAUUCUGGCGGGCAUGCCUGUUCGAGCGUCAUUUCAACCCUCAAGCCCCCGGGUUUGGUGUUGGGGAUCGGGCUGUACUCCAGCCCGGCCCCGAAAUCUAGUGGCGGUCUCGCUGCAGCCUCCAUUGCGUAGUAGCUAACACCUCGCAACUGGAACGCGGCGCGGCCAAGCCGUUAAACCCCCAACUUCUGAAUGUUGACCUCGGAUCAGGUAGGAAUACCCGCUGAACUUAAGCAUAUCAAUAAGCGGAGGA